GACGAACGCUGGCGGCGUGCUUAACACAUGCAAGUCGAACGGAAAGGCCCUGCUUUUGUGGGGUGCUCGAGUGGCGAACGGGUGAGUAACACGUGAGUAACCUGCCCUUGACUUUGGGAUAACUUCAGGAAACUGGGGCUAAUACCGGAUAGGAGCUCCUGCUGCAUGGUGGGGGUUGGAAAGUUUCGGCGGUUGGGGAUGGACUCGCGGCUUAUCAGCUUGUUGGUGGGGUAGUGGCUUACCAAGGCUUUGACGGGUAGCCGGCCUGAGAGGGUGAACGGGCACAAUGGGGCUAAGAGACGGCCCAGACGCCUACAGGAGGCAGCAGUGGGGAAUAUUACGCAAUAGGCGGAAGCCUAAUGCAGCAACGCCGCGUGCGGGAUGACGGCCUUCGGGUUGUAAACCGCUUUCGCCUGUGACGAAGCGUGAGUGACGGUAAUGAGUAAAGAAGCACCGGCUAACUACGUG
rnacentral:rRNA from 1 species